AGGACGAACGCUGGCGGCGUGCUUAACACAUGCAAGUCGAGCGGUAAGGCCUUUCGGGGUACACGAGCGGCGAACGGGUGAGUAACACGUGGGUGAUCUGCCCUGCACUUCGGGAUAAGCCUGGGAAACUGGGUCUAAUACCGGAUAUGACCUCCUAUCGCAGUGGUGGGUGGUGGAAAGAUUUAUCGGUGCAGGAUGGGCCCGCGGCCUAUCAGCUUGUUGGUGGGUAAUGGCCUACCAAGGCGACGACGGGUA
rnacentral:rRNA from 1 species